GUUUUCGGCUGCUCUCAAGAGUGGGCUGGGUCUUUUGCCUUUUACUAAAGACUUCUGUGGAGAGGAACACCUAAGAGUUGAAAUUAUUUUUGGUGGGCUUUGCUGUUUGGUUAAGCC